rnacentral:rRNA from 1 species
GAUGAACGCUGGCGGCGUGCCUAAUACAUGCAAGUCGAGCGAACGGACGAGAAGCUUGCUUUUCUGAUGUUAGCGGCGGACGGGUGAGUAACACGUGGAUAACCUACCUAUAAGACUGGGAUAACUUCGGGAAACCGGAGCUAAUACCGGAUAAUAUUUUGAACCGCAUGGUUCAAAAGUGAAAGACGGUCUUGCUGUCACUUAUAGAUGGAUCCGCGCCGCAUUAGCUAGUUGGUAAGGUAACGGCUUACCAAGGCAACGACGCAUAGCCGACCUGAGAGGGUGAUCGGCCACACUGGAACUGAGACACGGUCCAGACUCCUACGGGAGGCAGCAGUAGGGAAUCUUCCGCAAUGGGCGAAAGCCUGGCGGAGCAACGCCGCGUGAGUGAUGAAGGUCUUCGGAUCGUAAAACUCUGUUAUUAGGGAAGAACAUAUGUGUAAGUAACUGUGCACAUCUUGACGGUACCUAAUCAGAAAGCCACGGCUAACUACGUG